rnacentral:lncRNA from 1 species
GUCUCGCGUCUGGAAUCACCGUCAAGGAGUCAGAUCCAGCCCCGGAGAGGGAGCAGGGUCGAGGUCUCCUUGCAGAAGGCGCCACCGCAGGAAGCACAGGCGCAACGUGCGGUCUCCCUAGCGGAGGCGCUCGCGAUCCUGCAGCCGCCGGUCCGGGAGGUGCUCGGUAGCCCUCCUUGGUGCCUGUCCGGUAGCUGGUCACUCUCGGGGGAAGGUCGUGUGCAGAAGGGCACAUGCGAUCACACAGAGACGGCGUUGCUGCGGCUUUGACCCGAUGGUGCACCCGAAAGAACACAGAGGGUGAAGGGAGAGAUCCAGGAAGUGGUCGCGGAGCAGAACCCCCCUUCACUUCAGUUAAAAAGACAGAGUCUCGGCUCACUGCAACCUCUGCCUCCCGGGUUCAAGCAAUUCUACUGCCUCAGCCUCCCAAGUAGCUGGGAUCCAACACCACGCCUGGCUUAUUUUUUAAUUUUUAGUAGAGAUGGGGUUUCACCAUGUUGGCCAUGCUGGUCUUGAAUCCUGAUCUCAGAUGAUCUGCCCACUUCGGUCUCCCAAACUGCUGCAAUUACAGGGUUUCAAAGCCAGAGGAGAUAAAAG